rnacentral:rRNA from 1 species
CAUAGGUUUGGUCCCAGCCUUCCUGUUAACUCUUAAUAAACUUACACAUGCAAGCAUCUACACCCCAGUGAGAAUGCCCUCUAGGUUAUUAAAACUAAGAGGAGCUGGCAUCAAGCACACACCCUGUAGCUCACGACGCCUUGCUUAACCACACCCCCACGGGAAACAGCAGUGACAAAAAUUAAGCCAUAAACGAAAGUUUGACUAAGUUAUAUUAAUUAGGGUUGGUAAAUCUCGUGCCAGCCACCGCGGUCAUACGAUUAACCCAAGCUAACAGGAGUACGGCGUAAAACGUGUUAAAGCACCAUACCAAAUAGGGUUAAAUUCUAACUAAGCUGUAAAAAGCCAUGAUUAAAAUAAAAAUAAAUGACGAAAGUGACCCUACAAUAGCCGACGCACUAUAGCUAAGACCCAAACUGGGAUUAGAUACCCCACUAUGCUUAGCCCUAAACACAGAUAAUUACAUAAACAAAAUUAUUCGCCAGAGUACUACUAGCAACAGCUUAAAACUCAAAGGACUUGGCGGUGCUUUAUAUCCUUCUAGAGGAGCCUGUUCUUAUCAAUC